GCUCUAAAUAAAUUAUCUUGUCUUUCUCUACUUUGUCAAAGCAGGACAAGAAGGUGUACUAUCAGAAGGUGUCAGAGUACAGUUUAUAUUAUCUUCACAAGGUGCAGCAGUCCAAUGCAGGCUUAUCCGCAUCAGGGAAGCUGGAGUCUCCACACAAGGCCAAGCCAUUUCAUCUCAGGAGUAGCCCAGAAGGGCAAUCCCAGAUAUGUGUACAGACUGAGAGAAGAACUAAUUCACUGCAGUCCUGUGGAGAAGGAUUGAGGACCCUGGCCAAUGAAAAGCUGAACAUAAGCCAGCUGUGGGCACAUGCAGCCUGGAAGGCCUGCAGUUUCCUGGACUACAUCAAAAGAGAGGCAUCCAGCAGGACAAGGGAGGUGAUUGUCUCUGUCUACUCUGGCAUCGUAAGAUUGCAUCUGGAGUACUGUGUCCGGGUCUUGGGGUCCUCAGAACAAAAAGUAUAUGGAGUUGUUGGAGUGGGUCCAGAAGAGAGCUGUGAUGAUGGUGAUCAGGAAGGAUGAGGAAGUUGGUCUUCUUUACUCUGGAGAAGAGGAAGCUCUGGAGAGACCUCAUCAUGGCUUACCAGCACUUGAGGGGAACUUAUAAGCAGGAAGGAAACCAACAUUUUACAGUUUGAGUAAUAGAAAAAGCAGAAUGGCUUUAAAAUAAACAGGGAGAUUUAGGUUAGAUAUUAGAUGAAAUCUUUUACUCAGAGGGUGGUGAGCGACUGGAGUAAGUUGCCCAAAGAAUUUGUGAAAUCACCAUUCCUGGACGUGUUCAAGGCCAGACUGUAUGGGGCACCGGGCAACCAGGAUUAGUGGAUGGCAAUCCCAUCAAUGGCAGGGUGGCUUGAACUAGAUGAUCUAGAUUUCACUGGACCAGGUUGCCCAAGGAGGUUGUGGAUGCCCCAUCCCUGGAAUCAUUCAAAGCCAGGCUGGAUGUGGCUCUGGGCAGCCCAGUCUAGUGGUUGGUGACCCUACACGUAGCAUGGGGGUUGAAAUUUGAUGAUCAUUGUGUUCCUUUUCAACCCAG